AUGUAUGUGGGUUGGUUCUUGUUUUUGGGGUUUGGCAAGGGCUGGCGUACAUUUUGCGAGCGUAGAGCUCGCAUAAGUAGUAUUUUAACGGGGGGUAAGGGGGGUUUGUUAAUAGAUACUUGUUGUCACACUUGCGCACACGUCUGUGCGUACACACGUCUGUGCGUACAUAUUAAGGAUUAUGUCCUACAAGCAUUAAAAGAAUAUACUCAGCUUAAUCCUAUGCGAAGCGAGGAUACUUCAUCUAUAAUCAGCCCCAAUCUUUAUGUCCUGGUCCACUCUAUGUGGGGCGAGGAUACUUGCCUUAUAUGUCCAACCUUGACUGAAGUGGUUAGGAUACCAGGCCCCUUUCCGCGAUGGUGAUGCCAGGCAACCCGAAAAUUAAAAAAUACCAAAUGCAUGGAAUUGCAGUUAUGUUGGUCAUGGGCCAGUCUAGUAAUUAGUCCAUCGAGAUGUCUUAUUUAAGGGGAACGAAUGAGCGAGGUUAAUGCUAUGGCCCUGAAGAAAGAACCAGAUGUCUCUUAAAAGGCAGUUUUAGUAACCCCCACGGUCUAUGGGCCCGGGGCGAGCAGAGGGAUCCCUGUCUAGCGGGUUGCUGGUUUCACGGAGGAUGCUGGGUUAUGAGGUUGAUUAAGGGAAGGGGAUAGUCAUAUGGAAGAGAAUUGAUUUGACUUAAUGGUGUAUGUCUAACGAUGGACUUAAUGUCUUAUGUCUGAUGGAACUGCUUUCUUAGGAAGUGAAUAGUCGUGUUGUGUUAGGAUUUUAUGUGAGUUAAGGUUUGAAUGGUGUAUGCUCGACAGAGUUAUGGGUGCGUGCUUGAUAUCCAUGGGGGCAAUCUUCUAAUGUUGAUUAUACAUGUAAUGGUCUAUGUACUAUUAUGCAUACUAUGUACUGGUACAUUAUUAAUGUGGGCGAGCAUUAAUGCACGAAUUACAUAAAAGAUAAUGUUUUUUACACUAUAUGAAUAUGAGUUGUGAGCUUUCAGGGAAUAGUUUAAUAAGAAUUUCAGUUUUGGGUACUGAUGGUGGGAUUUUUUCUAUCUCUUCCUUGAAUUGUGCCCUAGGGUGAAUUUGUUUCCCAUCUCUGGCUUACAAGACCAGUAUAAUUGUUUAUACUACCAGGGCUCUUCAUUUUAAUAUUUUGUUUUCUAAUAGGCUCGUCAGGGGGAAAAGGAUUAGGAUAAUGAAGAAGUAGGAGAUGGAGGCCAACUGGCCAAUGGUGAUGUAGGGAUGCUCAACGGGUUGUCCUCCGAUUCAUGUGAGGAUGAGGAGAUUGGCUGCUAGUAAUCAUAGAAGGCAUUGGCUGAGGGGGCGGAAUGCUAUGCUACGUUGUUUUGAUGUGUGGAGUAUGGGGAAUAGGGCUAGGAUUAGAAUAGAGAGAACUAGGGCUAGGACCCCUCCUAGUUUGUUAGGGAUAGAGCGGAGGAUUGCGUAGGCAAAUAAGAAAUACCACUCUGGUUUAAUGUGUGGUGGCGUAUUCAGCGGGUUGGCGGGUGUGUAGUUAUCUGGGUCUCCUAAUAGGUCGGGUGUAAAGAGUACUAGGCAUAGAAGAGCUAGUAUUAUAAAUAAGGCUCCUAAAAUGUCUUUGAUUGUGUAAUAAGGGUGGAAUGGGAUUUUGUCGGAGUCUGAGUUUAGUCCUGAUGGGGUUGUUUGAUCCUGUCUCGUGGAGGAAUAAGAGGUGGACUAUCACUAGGGCGGUGAUGAUGAAUGGAAGAAUAAAGUGGAAGGCAAAGAAUCGUGUUAGGGUGGCUUUGUCUACUGAGAACCCCCCUCAGAUUCACUCUACAAGGGUUGUCCCGAUGUAGGGGAUAGCUGAUAGAAGAUUAGUAAUAACGGUAGCACCUCAAAAGGAUAUUGACCCCAUGGCAAUACGUACCCUAUGAAUGCGGUAGCCAUAACUGUGAACAGAAGAGCAAUUCCAAUAUUUCAUGUCUCUAGGAAUGUGUAUGAUCCGUAGUAAAUACCUCGUCCGAUGUGUAGAUAUAGGAAAAUAAAGAAUAUGGAUGCUCCGUUGGCAUGUAGAUAUCGGAUCAGUCAGCCAUAGUUUACGUCUCGGCAAAUGUGGGCGACAGACGAGAAUGCCGUGGAAGUGUCUGCAGUAUAGUGUAUUGCUAGGAAGAGUCCUGUAAUAAUUUGCAGGCCUAGACAGAUGCCUAAGAGGGAGCCGAAGUUUCAUCACGUUGAAAUGCUGGAUGGAGCUGGGAGGUCAAUUAGGGAGUGGUUAAUGAUUUUGAUGAGUGGGUGUGAUUUUCGUAGGUGGGUCAUUAGUGUUGGUUUCUGUAGUUGAAUUACAACAGUGGUUUUUCAUACCACUAGUCAUGGUUAAACUCCAUGUAGGAAUUGUGGCUGUGAAUGUAAUGUACUUUCUAAGCAUUUUAUUCGUUAUAGGCUUUGUGUGCCUAUCUGCAAAACCCUCACCUGUUUAUGGCGGUCUGACAUUGGUUGUCAGCGGAGGCAUCGGUUGUAUGCUUAUUUUAAGUCAAGGCGGAUCAUUUUUAGGUCUUAUAGUAUUUUUAAUUUAUUUGGGCGGUAUGAUGGUGGUGUUUGGUUAUACGACAGCUUUAGCUACUGAGCGCUACCCUGAAACAUGGGCCUCUAGUAUAAUUAUCUGAGGAACUUUAUUGCUAGGUUUAAUCAUGGAGUUUUUAUUGUUAUAUUGAUGAGCAAGUAAUGAUCAGAUUGAAAUCCUAGUUGAUUGCUAUAAUAUAGGAGAGUGGAUCAUUUAUGAUGAUGAAAGUGCAGUAGGUUUUCUUAGUGAAGAUCCUGCAGGAGUGGCAGCCAUUUAUAGUUACAAUUGUUGAUUAAUAUUUGUAGCUGGCUGAUCUAUGUUUGUUGGUAUUUUUAUUGCUAUUGAAAUUACUCGUGGAAAUUAGAUUACUAUAAAGAUAGCCAGAGUAAUAGAAAUUAAGAACGAUAGGAAAUAUAGUUUUACUAAUCCUGUUUGAGUUGAUGAACUGAUAGCUGCGGAAACUUGUAUGCUUGAGAUGCCCUUUGGAGCUACUUUUUCUAAUCAAAUUAAGUCUAGUAAGACCGAUGAUAAGUUCUGGCUCAUUAAAAGAUUUUUAUAAGGAACUGAUCGGUGCAUAAUAACUGAAUGGUAGCCUAAUAUAUUAGAGAAGUUGAAGGUCUUUGUUGAAUAAUUUAGUUUUAAAUUAUAGGCUAUAGAGGCUAGUUCUAUUGCGAUUGUAAGUCCAAUAAUUGUAACUAGAAGGGCUGAGGUUUUUAGGUAGGUUGGUAUGGUCAUUUGGUAUAUAGUUGUGGGUGGAAUACUGUUUGAGAUGAAAAACCCUGCAAAAAUGCUUCCUGCUGCCAGGCGGCUAAUUGAGUUGAUUAAUAUAGGGUUGUUUUCGUUGAUUGAGGCGGAUGAGUGAAAUCGGGGGGUUUCAAUUAUAGUGAAGAAUAAGAUUCGAACGCUAUAGGCUGCUGUUAAUGAUGUGGCAAUUAAGGUUAGGGUUAGUGCUCAUGCGUUGGUGUAGGAUGUAGUGGCGGCUUCAAUAAUCAGGUCUUUAGAAUAAAAUCCUGUUAGAAAAGGUAUUCCUGUUAGGCAAGGCUUCCAAUAGUUAGGCAGGAUGAAGUUAUUGGCAUAACUUUAAAUAGACCUCCUAUCUUUCGGAUGUCUUGUUCAUCAUUUAGACUAUGGAUAAUUGAGCCUGAACAUAUAAAGAGCAUUGCUUUGAAGAAGGCGUGGGUGCAAAUGUGUAGGAAGGCUAAAUGUGGUUGGUUAAUUCCGAUUGUUACUAUUAUUAAUCCCAGUUGACUAGAGGUGGAGAAUGCUACGAUUUUUUUGAUGUCAUUUUGUGUGAUUGCGCAAAUUGCAGCAAAUAGUGUAGUAAUGGCCCCCGUGCAUAGAAUGCAUGUUUGAAAUAAGUAGUUGUCUUGUAUUAGGGGGGAGAAGCGGAUUAGUAGGAAAACUCCGGCUACCACUAUUGUGCUUGAGUGGAGUAGGGCUGAUACUGGUGUUGGGCCUUCUAUUGCGGAUGGGAGUCACGGGUGAAGUCCAAAUUGGGCAGAUUUUCCGGUGGCUGCUAAUAAUAAUCCUAGAAGAGGAAGUAAAGAGAUUUUAUUUUGUAUUGAGAAGAGUUGCUGUAAAUCCCAUGAGUUAAAAUAUAUGGUGAACCAUGCUAUUGAUAGUACAAAUCCAAUGUCUCCGAUUCGAUUGUAUAGAAUUGCUUGGAGUGCUGCUGUAUUUGCAUCUGCUCGUCCAUACCAUCACCCAAUUAAAAGGAAUGAUAUGAUUCCAACUCCUUCCCAGCCGAUGAAAAGUUGAAAUAUAUUGUUAGCUGUAACUAGAACUAUUAUAGUAAUUAAGAAUAGCAGGAGGUAUUUGAAGAAUUUGUCAAUGUUGGGGUCUGAAUAUAUAUACCACAAGGAGAAUUCCAUAAUGGACCAUGUUACGAAUAAGGCUACGGAUAUAAAUAGGAUAGAGAAAUAGUCUAGUUUAAAACUUAUGCACAGGUUUAAGGACUGAAUAGUUAGUCAAUUUCAGGUUGUUACUACUGCCUCGUGGUUUGAGUUGAGGUAAGAAAGAGUGGGGAUUAGGCUAAGUAGGAAGGAUAAUGAGGUAAGAGACUUAACAUAUAUGGGAAAUGGAAGUUUGUUGUGGAUGUUAGUUAUAGAGGUUAAAAUAGGUAAUAAGAGGGUAGAUAGUGUUAGAACGAAAAAUGUAAUAGAUAUAUUAAUUACUUUUAUUUGGAGUUGCACCAAUUUUUUGGUUCCUAAGACCAAUGGAUUACUUCUAUCCUAUAAAAGUUAAGGAAGCCAUAUUUUUAAAUAUGGAGGGAGGAAUUAGCAGUUCCAGUUGUCUUCCUCUUGGGUAAAUAAGAAGGGUUAAUCUUCUAUUGUUAGAUUCACAAUCUAAUGUUUUUGUUAGA
ensembl:lincRNA